GACGAACGCUGGCGGCGUGCUUAACACAUGCAAGUCGAACGGUGAAGCGCCUUCCUUUUUGGUGGGUGUGGAUGAGUGGCGAACGGGUGAGUAACACGUGAGUAACCUGCCCCCUUCUUCUGGAUAACCGCAUGAAAGUGUGGCUAAUACGGGAUAUUCUGGGUCUGUCGCAUGAUGGGUCUGGGAAAGAUUUUGUUUCGGUGGGGGAUGGGCUCGCGGUCUAUCAGCUUGUUGGUGGGGUGAUGGCCUACCAAGGCGGUGACGGGUAGCCGGCCUGGGAGGGUGGACGGUCACACUGGGACUGAGACACGGGCCAGACUCCUACGGGAGGCAGCAGUGGGGAAUAUUGCACAAUGGGAGCAAGCCUGAUGCAGCGACGCCGCGUGAGGGAUGGAGGCCGUCGGGUUGUGAACCUCUUUCGCCAGUGAAGCAGGCCUGCCUCGUUUGUGGGUGGGUUGACGGUAGCUGGAUAAGAAGCGCCGGCUAACUACGUG
rnacentral:rRNA from 1 species